UCCCGCCCUCUUCCGCAGGAAUUCAUUUGAAGGCAAACUAGAAGACUGGGGGGGGAAAGCAAAGGAGACGAAGUGUUGGAUAACCUUGAAGAGGACGCCUGUGUUGCUGUGAUGCCAUGAGUCCAAGGUGCCUUUGGCACACUUUGUGAUCCUCAACAGCACACGUGUUUGGACGCCGUCCAUCUCAUUAGCAAUUGGUGGGAGGUGUUGCAGGCGGUACGGCAAAGUACAACAGAAACAACUCCAGGGAGCCACUGCAGCGGUGCUGAAGAGCCGCAUGUUGCUUGAGAGCCGCGGGUUGCUGAUCCCCAAUCUACUGGGAUGUCGACCGACAGGACGCUCACAAAAUUCCGUUUGAAGGUUCGAUCACAAAAGCUUUUUCAACCAGCCUGUCGGUCCAGGGUUACGUUUGUCUACUAGCAGCACGCCGUGCAUCUCGGGAGACAAGCAGGGCGCCAUCUUGAAUAAAUAGAAUUUGGACUCGACAAAAGCCACCUCCAGCUGAGCAAUGAGAAGGCGUCCUUUUACCGCUGGAUGGCCACCACGCCCGAUGACGGGGGAGUGCCAAACAAACACAUACCAAUCGACGGAUUCAAGAUGCGAAAGUCCAUCGUUUGUUCUGCACACCUUACCGACGACAGCUAUGCUACGACAGAGAUGGCAAGAAUGUGUGGAUAUCCUGCGACACUCAAAGCAGAUGCAUUUCCAACGAUAAAGUCAACGAAAUCACAAAGGUGAGUUUUGUUGAUGUUAUUGACUUAUGCGGAGUGCUAAUCAGACGUAUUUGGUCACGGCAUGACUGCAAGCUAAUCGAUGCUACAAAUAAGGCAACAAAUAUAGCCUCACUUGUAGCUAUAUUUGCAUAAAGCCUUUCCCUCCAGCCACAUUUAAUGCCAAACAAACACAUACCAAUCGACGGAUUCAAGUCGCACCAGUGGUCAAAAGAUGCGAAAGUCCCUCGUUUGUUCCGCACACCUUACCGACGACAGCUAUGCUACGACAGAGAUGGCAAGAAUGUGUGGAUAUCCUGCGACACUCAAAGCAGAUGCAUUUCCAACGAUAAAGUCAACAAAAUCACAAAGGUGAGUUUUGUUGAUGUUAUUGACUUAUGUGGAGUGUGCUAAUCAUGCAUAUUUGGUCACGGCAUGACUGCAAACUAAUCGAUGCUAACAUCGUUUAGCUACAAAUGAGGCUACAAAUAUAGCCUCAUUUGUAGCAAUAUUUGCAUCCAGCCUUUCCCUAUACCCACAUUUAGUGCCAAACAAACACGUACCAAUCGACGGAUUCAAGUUGCACCAGUGGUCAAAAGAUGCAAAAGUCCCUCGUUUGUUCUGCACACCUUACCGACGACAGCUAUGCUACGACAGAGAUGGCAAGAAUGUGUGGAUAUCCUGCGACAGUCAAAGCAGAUGCAUUUCCAACGAUAAAGUCAACGAAAUCACAAAGGUGAGUUUUGUUGAUGUUAUUGACUUAUGCGGAGUGCUAAUCAGACAUAUUUGGUCACGGCAUGACUGCAAGCUAAUCGAUGCUAACAUGCUAUUUAGGCUAGCUGUAUGUACAUAUUGCAUCAUUAUGCCUCAUUUGUAGCUAUAUUUGCAUCCAGCCUUUCCCUCCACCCACAUUUAAUGCCAAACAAACACCUACCAAUCGUUGGUUAGAAGGCGAUCGCCGAAUUCGUUCGUGCCGCUGUCUGUCGUGAUAUGGCUCAAAGGCUUCUGUUUCUUCUUUAAUUUCGUUUUCGCUACCUGCCUCCACACUCCAACCAUCCGUUUCAAUAGUUGAAUCGCGUGCGCCGCUGAAAUCCGAGUCUGAAUCCGAGCUACUAUGCUAUACCUUUCUGCGCUAUCCGCCAUGUGUGUUUCCGGUGGCUUCACGCAGUGACGUCACAUAUAGCGAUGGUGUAAAUCAGGCACUUUGAAGUCGUUUUUCGGGAUAUUGCGUGAUGGCUAAAAUUUUGAGAAAAACUUCGAAAAAUAAAAUAGGUCACCGGGAACGGAUUUUUAUUGGUUUUAACCCUUCAGAAAUUGCGAUAAUGUUCCCCUUUAAACCGACACAAAGGAUGACUCCCGCCACCUACAAAAUAAAAGGUGGCGAUAUUUCUUUUG